CUACGGGACGCACCAGUGGGGAAUAUUGGACAAUGGGCGCAAGCCUGAUCCAGCCAUGCCGCGUGGAUGAAGAAGGCCCUAGGGUUGUAAAAUCCUUUCGCUAGGGAUGAUAAUGACAGUACCUAGUAAAGAAGCCCCGGCUAAUUUCGUGCCAGCAGCCGCGGUAAUACGAAAGGGGCUAGCGUUGUUCGGAAUUACUGGGCGUAAAGCGCACGUAGGCGGCCUACCAAGUUAGAGGUGAAAUCCCGGGGCUUAACCCCGGAACUGCCUUUAAAACUGGUAAGCUAGAGGAUGUGAGAGGUGAGUGGAAUUCCGAGUGUAGAGGUGACAUUCGUAGAUAUUCGGAAGAACACCAGUGGCGAAGGCGACUCACUGGCACAUUUCUGACGCUGAGGUGCGAAAGCGUGGGGAGCAAACAGGAUUAGAUACCCUCGUAGUC
rnacentral:rRNA from 1 species